AGUGAACGCUGGCGGUAGGCCUAACACAUGCAAGUCGAACGGCAGCACAGUAAGAGCUUGCUCUUACGGGUGGCGAGUGGCGGACGGGUGAGGAAUACAUCGGAAUCUACUUUUUCGUGGGGGAUAACGUAGGGAAACUUACGCUAAUACCGCAUACGACCUACGGGUGAAAGCAGGGGAUCUUCGGACCUUGCGCGAUUGAAUGAGCCGAUGUCGGAUUAGCUAGUUGGCGGGGUAAAGGCCCACCAAGGCGACGAUCCGUAGCUGGUCUGAGAGGAUGAUCGGCCACACUGGAACUGAGACACGGUCCAUACUCCUACGGGAGGCAGCAGUGGGGAAUAUUAGACAAUGGGCGCAAGCCUGAUCCAGCCAUACCGCGUGGGUGAAGAAGGCCUUCGGGUUGUAAAGCCCUUUUGUUGGGAAAGAAAAGCAGCAGGUUAAUACCCCGCUGUUCUGACGGUACCCAAAGAAUAAGCACCGGCUAACUUCGUG
rnacentral:rRNA from 1 species